rnacentral:lncRNA from 1 species
UCCAUGGAUCCUUUAUUCAUACUUAUUCAAUUGGAAGUAUUGAUCCAAUUCCAAAAUUAUGUUUUGCAAUUUCAUAAUCCAAUUUUUCAAUGUCUAAGUGACCCUUGGAUACAAAUCACGAGAAUGUGUAUUUGUUCUCGAAUUUGUCAUUGAGAAGAAAAGGAUUAAAUCCUUUUAAGAAAUAAAAUUUUUGAUCGAAAUACGAAUCAAACCGAAGGACCCUUUAAC